rnacentral:lncRNA from 10 species
CGGUGUCCACUGCACAGUCACAUGGCAUUGCAGCACUGCCGUGGCAAUGGCAAGACCUGUGACACACGGCGGCCCCACGCGGUGUCCACUGCACAGUCACGUGGCAUUGCAGCUCCGCCGUGGUGACGGCAAGACUGUGACACACGGCGGCCCCACGCGGUGUCCACUGCACAGUCACGCGGCAUUGCAGCUCCGCCGUGGUGACGGCAAGACUGUGACACACAGUGGCCCAAACGUGGGGGGCUCUUCCAUUCCUGUAUUACUUGAUCGAAGAAGUCUAAAUAAAAACAUCAGUAGGAGGGGAAGGAGGAAGGAAGGAGAAGAAAGAGGAAGAAUAGGAGGAGAAGAGGAAGAGAGGAAGAAGUCGUGAACAGCCCUCCUGCAUUUUGCAUCAGGUAGAAAAGUCAGUUGAAUGUUGGGAAGAACACAAAUAAUGGAGUCUUGCUUUGUCGCCAAGGCCAGAGGGCAGUGGUGGUGUCUCAGCUCACUCAACCUCCACCUCCCGGAUUCAAGCAAUUCUCCUGCCUCGGCUUCUUGAGUAGCUGGGACUACAGGUGCCGGCCACCACACCUAGCUAAUUUUUGUAUAUUUAAUAGAGACAGGGUUUCACCAUGUUGGCCAGGCUUGUCUUGAACUCCUGACCUCAGGUGAUCCACCCACCUUGGCCUCCCAAAAUUCUGGGAUUACAGGCAUGAGCCACCAAGCACAGCCAGUUUUUAACUUUAAUAAAUUCUAGCUUACAAAAUAUUUAUUUCAUUGGUGUUGCCUGAAUGUACCACAGUUUUUUUAUUCAGCCAGUUAAUGAAGGACAUCUUGGUUUCUUCCAUAUUUUGGCAAAUGUGAGUAAAGCUGCUAUAAAUGUCUGUGUGAAUGUAUUUGUGUGCACAUAAGUUUUCAACUCCUUUGGGUAAAUAGCAAGGAGUGCAAUUCCUGGAUCAUCUGCAAAGUCAUCACCGUAUCCAGGGUCAUCCAGGUUUUCUCUGAUGUUAUCCUCUAGGAUUUUACAGUUUUGCAUGUUACAUUUAGGUCUAUGAUCUACUCUGAGUUAGUUUUUGCAAAGCUUAUAAGGUCUUUGUCUAGACUCAUUUUUUCAUGUGGAUGUCCCGUUGUUUCAGUACCGUUUGUUGAGAAGGCUGUUUUUUCUCCAUUGCCUUAUGUUUUCUCCUUUGCUGAGUUUAGUUUUUAUGGCCAUGA